rnacentral:rRNA from 1 species
AUUAGUUUACUAUUGGAGCGGUUAGUGGCGGACUGGUGAGUAACACGUAAGCAACCUGCCUAUCAGAGGGGAACAACAGUUAGAAAUGACUGCUAAUACCGCAUAUGCCUUAGAAUCACAUGGUUCAAAAGGGAAAGGAGCAAUCCGCUGAUAGAUGGGCUUGCGUCUGAUUAGCUAGUUGGUGGGGUAACGGCCUACCAAGGCGACGAUCAGUAGCCGAACUGAGAGGUUGAACGGCCACAUUGGGACUGAGAUACGGCCCAGACUCC